rnacentral:rRNA from 1 species
AUUCCCUUAGUAACGGCGAGUGAAGCGGGAACAGCUCCAUUUGAAAUCUGGCCUUCGGGUCCGAAUUGUAAUUUGCAGAGGAUGCUUUUGGUUAGGUACUUUCCGAGUUCCCUGGAACGGGACGCCUUAGAGGGUGAGAGCCCCGUACGGUUGGAUACCGAGCCUGUGUAAAGCUCCUUCGACGAGUCGAGUAGUUUGGGAAUGCUGCUCUAAAUGGGAGGUAAAUUUCUUCUAAAGCUAAAUACCGGCCAGAGACCGAUAGCGCACAAGUAGAGUGAUCGAAAGAUGAAAAGCACUUUGAAAAGAGGGUUAAAUAGCACGUGAAAUUGUUGAAAGGGAAGCGUUUAUGACCAGACUUUUUCCAGGCGGAUCAUCCGGUGUUCUCACCGGUGCACUUCGUCUGGUUGAGGCCAGCAUCGGUUUUCGUAGAGGGAUAAAAGCAGUAGGAAUGUGGUUCCUCCGGGAAUGUUAUAGCCUAUUGUAUAAUACCUUUAUGGGGACCGAGGUUCGCGCUCUGCAAGGAUGCUGGCGUAAUGGUCAUCAACGACCCGUCUUGAAACACGGACCAAGGAGUCGAACAUUUGUGCGAGUGUUUGGGUGUUAAACCCUCACGCGUAAUGAAAGUGAACGGAGGUGAGAGCCCUUACGGGUGCAUCAUCGACCGAUCCUGAUGUUUUCGGAUGGAUUUGAGUAAGAGCAUAACUGUUCGGACCCGAAAGAUGGUGAACUAUGCGUGGAUAGGGUGAAGCCAGAGGAAACUCUGGUGGAGGCUCGCAGCGGUUCUGACGUGCAAAUCGAUCGUCAAAUCUGCGCAUGGGGCGAAAGACUAAUCGA